rnacentral:rRNA from 1 species
GUUGAACGCUGGCAGCAUGCCUAACACAUGCAAGUCGAGCGGGCGGCGGACGGGUGAGUAAUGUAUGGGGACUGCCCGAUAGAGGGGGAUAACUGCUGGCAACGGUAGCUACUACCGCAUACUAUCGGAUGACCUAUAUGGGAUUAGCUAGUAGGUGAGGUAAUGGCUCACCUAGGCGACGAUCCCUAGCUGGUCUGAGAGGAUGAUCAGCCACACUGGGACGGCGACACGGCCCAGACGCAUACGGAGGCAGCAGUGGGGAAUAGUGCACAAUGGGCGCAAGCCGGAGACAGCCAUGCCGCGUGUAUGAAGAAGGCCCUAGGGUUGUAAAGUACUUUCAGUCGGGAGGCGUUACCGACAGAAGAAGCACCGGCUAACUCCGUGCCAGCAGCCGCGGUAAUAC